CCGUGCUAGACGGGGAGGUAGCGGUGCCCUGUACCCGCAAUCCGCUCUAGCGGGGUUGAAUCCCUUCCUGAGGCUGACACUCUGUAGGGCUGCCUCAAGUAAGUGGUGUUGACGUCCUGGUCCUGCGCAAUGGGAAUCCAUGAACCAUGUCAGGUCUGGAAGGAAGCAGCAUUAAGUGGACGCUCCCAUGUGCCGCAGGGUUGCCUGGGCCGAGCUAACUGCUUGAGUAACGCUUAUGGAUGCCAGUCGAUGGAAGGUGCACGG
rnacentral:SRP_RNA from 1 species